UUGGGCACUGGGGGACUCUACGGGAGGCAGCAGUAGGGAAUCUUCCGCAAUGGACGAAAGUCUGACGGAGCAACGCCUCGUGAGUGUUGAAGGCUUUCGGGUCGUAAAACUCUGUUGUUAGGGAAGAACAAGUACGAGAGUAACUGCUCUUUUUUGAGGUACCUGGCGGAAACCGUCGG
rnacentral:rRNA from 1 species